UCUGAUGGAGCUGCUUUGACUCAGAGUCACUGAUCUGGAAACUUCUCCAGAGUUUUCCAGCAUCACAGACUCUGGUGACAGAGAUGGUGAGAAAUAAACCGACCUAAAAACCUCCAGCUGAGCCUGAAGCUGAAAACACUGAACAUGUUUCAUCCUGCAGCUCAGUGAGGUUUCUGUGUUUGAACAGAUCCAGCAGGAGAUCCAGAACCAGGAGAAACCAGAGAUCUGCUGGAGAACCAGAACCAAGAUCAGGUGGCAGUUCACUUUAAGAAGGAACCAGGAGGAACCAAAGUUCUGCUGGAGACCAGAAACCCAGACAGAAAACGGUACCUUGUUGUCGACUGUGGAGAUCAAAGGUAUCGCAUCACGGUUCAUGAAGUCCUGGAAGGAGGAGCCUUGAAGAAGCUGGACAAAGACGUUAGACGGUAUCUGGGAGGACGAUCUGUGGACAGAAAAUUCAAGGAUUUCCUUGGAGAAAUUUUCUCUGAUGGAGUCUGGAAAGAAUAUGAACAAAACUUCCCCAGAGAGGUUCUGAAAAUGAGUUUUGAGUUUUAUCGUCUCAAACAUUUAGAUGAAGAUGUUCAGAUCAGCUGCCCAGAUACCCUGAGAGAACGAGCUCAGAGAAAGAAAGACAUUCAAACGUUCUUUGCUUCAGUGGUAGGAGCUUCCUGGGAGGAUGGAGUCAUCAAAAUCUCCAGAGACAAACUGAGGUCUUUCUUUGAUGAUAUUCUACAGAGAAUCACUGAGAUUGUCAGAGAAAUAUUAAAUAAAAACUCCAACAUUGGGUUUAUUGUGUUAGUGGGGGGCUUUGCUGAGAGCCAGAUGCUCCGUCAGUUCAUCACUGAUCAGUUUGGACAUCAGUAUAAAGUCCUGUGUCCUCUUAGACCCCAGGAAGCGGUCCUGAAAGGAGCCGUAGAGUUGGGGAGAAACCCAGAGUUGGUCCAGUUUGACUGAAUUGUUUUUACUGAGAAUCAUUUUCUGUUUUUGUUACUGUGAUUUAUUUCCAUGAACAGUUUUUAGGAAAGGAAAUGUUAUAAUGUGUCAACAUGUAGUUUUAAUCCCUGAUUUUUGGUUCUACAGAAGAAAAUAUUUAGCUUUAUGGAGGACAUCGCUGAUGGAAGAAUGAUGUACUGUGGUCUAUAAUUCAGAGCUGAUUCUGUGGUAAAUCAGUGGAUUCUAGUAUAAAUACCUGAUGAUGAGAAUAAAUAACUUUAUUAACAGAGA